rnacentral:lncRNA from 1 species
GCUCCGAGGUACUGGUUAGUUCAUAAUGUUAUUCCACCUAUAGGGUUGCAGAUCCCUUUAGCUCCUUGGCUACUUUCUCUAGCUCCUCCAUUGGGAGCCCUAUGAUCCAUCCAUUAGCUGACUGUGAGCAUCCACUUCUGUGUAUAACAGUUUUCUUAAGGUACUAGCUCCCUAACAGUUUAAAUUUCUGACUUCUGGACACUAGAACUGCAAUAAAAUAAAUAUAUUCUGUUUUCAAACACCCCACCCACAUAGUAAUACUCUGUUUUGGCAGCCUUAGGAAAAAUAUAUAGAUAUUAACAAAAGUUAACACUAAUAACUGUGCACUCAAACUGUUUUGACUUGGUUCAUUUUUGACAUUUAGGCAUGUAAUUCACCUUUCUUUUCUUCCCCCACAAAACCUCACCUCCAUGUAUAAUAUGCCUCCUUUAUACUUGAGACUAAAGGGGCCAUCUAAUGGAAUUCUUUAAUCUGCCAUAAGUAAGCACAUUCCCUAGUAACACCUUUGCAUAUCACGAUGCAUACUUAAGCUUCCAAAGGCUUUCUCUUAAAGUCAUCCUGCAGGGCUGGCUAAGAUGAUGAGUAAGUGAUUGCUAUGCAAGCUUGUGACCUUAGAUUAAGUUCUCAUAACCCACAUAAAAAUCUGGGUGGGAGUCAGGCCUUCUAUAACACUAGUGCUAUGAGGAAUGGGCAUAGGUAGUUCACUAAUGUUUUCUGACUACCAGCUUACACCCCAGGUCACUGAGAGAUCAUGUCUCUUAAGAAUAAGUUCUUAAAUAGUAGAGCAGUGUGCAGAAUAUUUUGUUCUAGUUUUCCUAUAAACACCCACAUGCACAUGUAUAAGCAUGUAUACACACACAGACACACACACAUUCACAAACACACACACAUACACACAAUCAUCAUUUUAAUGGUGACCUUGAUUCAUAUUACCCUAUAUCUCAAGCAAGUCAUUUGGUCCACCUCAUUUUUUUUUAAAGGGAGAAGAGGGGGAAUAAUUCAUCAUUAUAUGGUAACUCCAUUUAAACUCCAUUUAUAUAUUAGGAAGCUUCUACAGCAGUAAGCUUCCAUAUGGAUUUUCAGAAGUUCUUUUGUGCCCGGUACCAUUUACUCUUCCUGUUCUAAUAUCCUCCAUUAUGCCUUUAGAUUACUAUGUUCUAUUAUUCCAAACAGACAUGCUCUCAAAUAAAGCUCCAAGUAUCAAGAAUGUGUUACAUCUCUUUGAGUUAUGGGCUCCCUCAAAACAUUAAAAGCUAUUACAAAUCUCUGAGUUCCCCUCCACAACUUGAUUGUAAGAUAUUACACUACAUACUAACAUUAUAGAACAUCAAGAAAUUAAGCUGGCACUGAACUGGAAGCUUUACAUCACUGACUAGUGUUUAUGGUGCUGAAAGAUACAAUACACACUCCUGGAGAGAAAAAGUAAUCAUCAGUCUCACUAAGCUGUGAACCAUAAGAGCUAUUUAUCAACGUGCUUGCAAGACAUAGCAACUGAUGCAAUUGUGGUACAAAUGUUAGGGGAGUAACCAACUGUUUUUUUUUUUUUUUGGUUAGAUUUAAGGUACCUUUUAUGAUAUGGAACACAGGUAUGACACUGUUAAUGGGGACAAGAAUAUGAGACUAGACAGAUCAUGGGCCUUAGAAGAAAACCAACUUCUAUUAUUAUAUAUUAAAUUAAAAUGGCAAUAAGACAUCUCCUAGUUGUACAUAUUGCUGUACCCAUAAAUCAUUGCAUUGCUCAACCCUCAUCAGGAAAACUUCUUCUUAGAGUACAUGGUAAAGCAUAGAGAUCCAUACUGGAUUAUGUGAAGAGAGUGAAUGACUUCAGAGCACUUAGCCAUAAAUGGUUUGUAUUUAACGCACUUUACCCCUCAACACUCGGGGACAUUGGCUGAAGAGGAAGCAGAAAGACUGUGAGAGCUGGAGGGGAUGGAUGAAUCCAAGGAAACAGUGUGUAUGUUCAGAAUUCAUUCAGUGUGUUCCAGAAACAACAGGGAUGAUGCACAUAUGAACUCACAGUAGAUUAUGACAGCAUGUUUAAUACCUGCAGAAGUUCAAGCCAAGCCCCAGCAUGGAGAAGAGGGAGUGAAAACAGCCCUAGCCAAGAAGCUGUUUGCAGCUGAUGGCUCUUGGAAGAGUGAAAAUAAAUUUUCUUCAAUGGAGUGGCACUGGGUAUAUCAAGCUCAAACACACUCUAUCAGUCUUCAUGUAGAAGAAAUAAUUAGCUAAUAUAAAUUAGACUCCAUAAUUUUAGUGUGUAUUUGUGUGUGUGUGUGUGUGUGUGUGUGUGUGUGUGUGUGUGUGUAUGCAUGUGCACAAGUACACAGGCACAUUUUUUGGUUUGGUUUUGCUUAACAGAGUAAAAGAACAGGAAUUUGGGUGGAUAAGAAGGGAGGACUAUUUUAAAGAGGUUAGGGAAGAAGAA